rnacentral:lncRNA from 1 species
UUAAAAUUUUAGUGUCUCCUCCAACUAUAAAUAUUCCGAGGGGAAUUAAUUAUAUAAAGAAUGAAAUCAGAUAAUGUGAACAAGAAUGCCACGUGAUGUCACCGCGAAUUGUGGCGAUGCGCGCGGAGAUCGAGAAGCGAAACGCAAAUGAUUAGCACCAAAAUUAACCAGUGCGCAUGCCCAGACCAACAGCUUUAUUCUGCGAUUGCGCUUAACAGCAGACUAAAGGCAGGUUUACACCAAGCGCAAGCGUUAACGUUUGCGCGCGCUUUCGUCAUAGUUCCGCCCCUUUUGCGCCAUGUGGCUGUUCAUAUCUAGCGUUAAUGCACCUCAAAGUGAACGCCGAGACCUGAAGCGUGUGCACCGAGUGACUUCAACUAUGUUUAAGGCUACUGCAGGCAUAGUACGACGAGCUAGACGCUGGGAGACAAUACGAGACUUUCAGCGACCACGCGGCCACACACGUGUCAGUCUGUCGUUUCGACGAAACGUUCAUUAUGCUGUCUGACAAAAUACGCAAAUUGAUAUUAGGUGACAAUAUAGCUUUGAAGUGGUUUCUUUUAAAGAAAGAGAAAAAGAAAAGAAUCUGGGUACACAGUAUAAAGGAAGAAAGAAUAACAAAAAGACAAUUUCACCAUUAAUAUCCACGCUGAAUGAAGAUGAA